GGGGAUUUAGCUCAGUGGUAGAGCGCUUGCCUAGCAAGCACAAGGUCCUGGGUUCGGACCCCAGCUCCG
rnacentral:tRNA from 1 species